rnacentral:tRNA from 1 species
GCCUGGGUGGCUCAGUCGGUUAAGCGUCCGACUUCAGCUCAGGUCAUGAUCUCACAGUUCGUGGGUUCGAGCCCCGCUUCGGGCU